UACGAAGGGGGCUAGCGUUGCUCGGAAUCACUGGGCGUAAAGCGCACGUAGGCGGAUUGUUAAGUCAGGGGUGAAAUCCUGGAGCUCAACUCCAGAACUGCCUUUGAUACUGGCGAUCUUGAGUCCGGGAGAGGUGAGUGGAACUGCGAGUGUAGAGGUGAAAUUCGUAGAUAUUCGCAAGAACACCAGUGGCGAAGGCGGCAUCCUGGACCGGCAUUGACGCUGAACAGCGAAAGCUAGGGGAGCAAACGGG
rnacentral:rRNA from 1 species